rnacentral:rRNA from 1 species
GCCUUCGGGAACCGUGAGACAGGUGCUGCAUGGCUGUCGUCAGCUCGUGUUGUGAAAUGUUGGGUUAAGUCCCGCAACGAGCGCAACCCUUAUCCUUUGUUGCCAGCGGUCCGGCCGGGAACUCAAAGGAGACUGCCAGUGAUAAACUGGAGGAAGGUGGGGAUGACGUCAAGUCAUCAUGGCCCUUACGACCAGGGCUACACACGUGCUACAAUGGCGCAUACAAAGAGAAGCGACCUCGCGAGAGCAAGCGGACCUCAUAAAGUGCGUCGUAGUCCGGAUUGGAGUCUGCAACUCGACUCCAUGAAGUCGGAAUCGCUAGUAAUCGUGGAUCAGAAUGCCACGGUGAAUACGUUCCCGGGCCUUGUACACACCGCCCGUCACACCAUGGGAGUGGGUUGCAAAAGAAGUAGGUAGCUUAACCUUCGGGAGGGCGCUUACCACUUUGUGAUUCAUGACUGGGGUGAAGUCGUAACAAGGUAACCGUAGGGGAACCUGCGGUUGGAUCACCUCCUU